GACGAACGCUGGCGGCGUGCUUAACACAUGCAAGUCGAACGGUGAAGCGCUUGCCUUUUUGGUGGGUGUGGAUGAGUGGCGAACGGGUGAGUAACACGUGAGUAACCUGCCCUCUUCUUCUGGAUAACCUCAUGAAAGUGGGGCUAAUACGGGGUAUUCCGGGUCUGUCGCAUGGCGGGUUUGGGAAAGAUUGCGCCUUUGGGUGUUUUCGGUGGGGGAUGGGCUCGCGGCCUAUCAGCUUGUUGGUGGGGUGAUGGCCUACCAAGGCGGUGACGGGUAGCCGGCCUGAGAGGGUGGACGGCCACACUGGGACUGAGACACGGCCCAGACUCCGGCGGGAGGCAGCAGUGGGGAAUAUUGCACAAUGGGCGCAAGCCUGAUGCAGCGACGCCGCGUGAGGGAUGGAGGCCUUCGGGUUGUGAACCUCUUUCGCCAGUGAAGCAGGCCUGCUCCUGUGUGGGUGGGUUGACGGUAGCUGGAUAAGAAGCGCCGGCUAACUACGUG
rnacentral:rRNA from 1 species